UAAGUUCACAUAUCUCUGCGUUUGAGAGCAACUUAUUUUUUAAAUGUUGCAUGCCCGGAGAGUGGUGGGGAACGGUGCUGCGUCCAGUUGGCCACCGGUCACUGGUCGUGUCCCCCAGGGAUCAGUGUUGGGCCCAAUGCUGUUUAAUAUCCUGUUUAAUAUCUUUAUUGAUAAUUUUAGAUGAGGGGUUUGAGUCCACCAUUAGCAAAUUUGCAGAUGACACCAAGCUGGGGGGUAGUGUUGAUCUGCUGGAAGGCAGGAGGGCUCUGCAGAGGAACGUGGACAAGCUGGAGAGUUGGGCUGAUUCCAAGGGGAUGAGGUUCAACCAGGCCAAGUGCCGGGUCCUGCACUUUGGCCACAACAACCCCCAGCAGCCCCCUGGGCUGGGGACAGAGUGGCUGGAGAGCAGCCAGGCAGAAAAGGAUGUGGGAGUUUGGACUGUCAAGAAGCUGAACAGGAGCCAGAGUGUGCCCAGGUGGCCAAGAAGGCCAAUGGAUCCUGGCCUGGUUCAGGAAGAGUGUGGCAGCAGGAGCAGGGAAGUGAUUCUUGCCCUGUACUCGGCGCUGGUGAGGCCACCCCUGGAGCGCUGUGUCCAGCUCUGGGCCCUCAGUUCAGGAAGGACGUGGAGGGGAGCAACAAGGCUGGGGAAGGGACUGGAGCACAAGUGGUGUGAGGAGAGGCUGAGGGAGCUGGGGGUGUUGAGGCUGGAGAAGAGGAGGCUCAGGGGAGACCUCAUCACUCUCUACAGCUCCCUGCCAGGAGGUUGUAGCCAGGUGGGGGUUGGUCCCUUCCCCCAGGCAGCUAUCCUGGGAGUAAGACAAGAGCGCUUGGUCUUCAGCUGUGCCAGGGGAGGUUUAGGUUAGAUAUUUGGAAGAAAUUCUUUACAGAGAGGACAUUCAGGCAUUGGAGUGGGCUGCCCAGGGAAGUGAUGGAUUCUCCAUCCCUGGAGGUUUUUAAGAUGAAACUGGAUGUGGCAUUGAGUGCCAUGCUCUAGUAACUGCAGCAGUAGUGGAUCGAGGGUUGGACUUGAUGAUCUGACAGGUCCUUUCCAACCCAGCUGAUUCUAUGAUUCUAUGAUUUCUAUUCUUUGAAUUACUUGAGAGUGCUUGUGAAAACCAAAUAAUUAGGUGUUGAAAUUUGGACACAGCUGUUUAGGCUAGAAUUUAAACACAGGAGCCAUCGCAGUGGGUCAGUAGAUAGUGGCAGCAAUUUCUUUUUGGCCCAAGAUAUAAUUCUGAAGAUUGAGAUAUGUGAUUGUGGUACUACUGUGAAAAAUGAGAUAAACUGUGUUAGCUUUAACUUCUUUCGCAGUAUGUUUUUGGUCUAAGUAACAUGUUUUACCCCACAUUUGCAGUAAGUUUAAGGGACAUGUGGUCAGCUACCAGUGCUCAGGUGACAGGCAGUAUAUUUUUUUGGUACAGAAUUAAUUGUUUCAGAAAUAAUAAUGUGUGAGCCCUCAUCUCUCAAGAGGGACCGCUCUGCUACUCUGUGCAGGAUGUUUUAAAUCAGUGUUGUAAUUGCAUGUUAAUGGAGAAAUCAUAUGUAAUUUAAAAGAAGAAUUGAAUACUUUUGGAACAUUUUUUUUAGAUAAAGUAAAUCCCAUUACACAUUAAAAUAUUAAAUGGAUGUGUGGGAACCUGUAGCCACUUUUCAGCUUUCUUCAAGUUCAUCUGGUCUGCAGGUACUUGAAUCUCUCAUGCGUUGAAAAGUUUGUCUGAGUGACAUCACAGGGAUUUCCAGACAGAAAUAUAAAGAAAUUAUAAUUGCUGUCUUUCUAAUGCCAACUUUAGUAUAGGAAGCUGGUUUUAGAAAUAUUUCAGUGUGUGCGUUACACUGAAAAAUACACUCAACUACAAAGGUGGAAUCACUAAAAUAAUUCCAAGAGUUUAAAGGUUAGAGAGGACUGCUGGCAAAACAGGUGGUUCCUAUAUAAGACAAGCAGAAAUUCAAAUUUCAAAGCUGAAUUUAUAAUUUAGUGUCAAUUCUAACAUGAUAUAACAGUUGUUAUCAGGUUAAUGAGGCACAGUUGAUAUGAAUUUCUGUUAUCUGAAUUAAAAAAGUUGUUGUUAAUAAACUUGAGAUGUGACUUUGAAUCUAAAUAAGGAGCAGAUGAACUAGAUAAAGUUGUUGCAUUUGCAUUUACUUUGUUUCUUUUCUAGACGAAAUUAUGUCAAUUUUCCCUCUAAUGUUUGCAAAUUAUGUCAGUGACUAAUGAUUCAUGUUUUCAGUGUCUUUAUAUUGUAAUCUUGAGGUAAUAAUUUCUUUCAAGAUAAAUGUUAUUUAAAUUACUGUUGUUACAGAAGUGGAUCGAUAAAAUGUUCUUACUUACAGGAUUUAGAGUUUAUGCUUCUGGACAGGUUGCUUUGCUUGCCAAGUCCCUUUUCAUUCUGGCACCACAGGGGUUAUAAAGCAGUAGAGCCCCUGACAGCUCUAUUUAUAUAGGUGUAUAUUUGUACAGAGCUAUAUGCAGAUUACAGACUGCUCAGUUCAUUGUUUUUUAAAGCCAGGUUUUCGUAGACUUCCAAGGAGCAGUGUGAGUAUGCAGACUCUGAAACUCAAUCUCUCUCCUCUGCAAUUGCUGUUGUUCAGGUUGGGUCUCAGUUGUGACUGGGGCCCUCAGAAGCUACCUGGAAGAAUAAGACUACUGAAGAUAAAAGUAUCAUGUUUCUCAAUUGAAAUGUCACACUGGGGUGCUUUAACAGAAGUAUGUUUUGUUUUCUUAUAGCACUGGGAGUUUGCCCCAAACAGUGUUUGUUACUCUGUGGCAAAGGAUGGUGGGUCUGUACCCUUUGUGAAAACAGCAGAACCCCACUUCUUAGAAAUGUAUGCACCCCAGAUAGCAAAAGCUUACAUUACUUCUAGACUGGAAUGUGUUUCUCAAGUUGUAAGGUAAACUUGUAAUUGCAACUUUCAGGCAGUAAUAUGGAGUGUUUAAUUUUCUGAUUUAUUGGCAUAUUAUGUUUUGGUAUAAUCUGAGUAUGCUGGUUCUGAUUAUCAUGGUGAUUUCUUUAGAUUGUCUUAAUGGGCUGAUAACAUUUUAUUCCUUUUGCUUAUUAACUUUAGGCCACAAUCAAAUGUAAAUUCUAGCUUUUUUUCAUUUCAUGGGCCUUUACUGACUUUCUAAUGGUUCAAAAUCAUGACCAUUUCUAUCGUCUCAGGAACAGGAAUCACUAGUACCUAGGAAAGCUUCCAGUGAUCCAGGGCUAGGACAGGGAAGGACAAGCAGCUCACUGCGGGUGCUGCCAAUUUUCCUGGGCCUUCUCUCAACCAGCUACACUUCUUUUGGCAUCUUUAGGUUAUUUUCUCUGUUCAGCUUUUCUGUAAUGAAAUCUCAGGGUUGAAAUUUCAUGUCUCAGCUUUUUUCUCCUAAGUAGGACUCAGUAGUGCUAAGCUUCUGGGUCAAACCAUCUGGCUUGAUCAGCUCCAAUGAAAUGUGCUAUUGCCUUCAUCAGCAUCACCAUCAGCACUGAAAAUUCAGUUUCUUUCUUUGGUACUGAUGAAAGAUUCUUCUUGAUGUCCAUGUUACAUUGUGGAGGAGUAAACUUUCUAACCUGUGUAGAAAGCUAACAGGGAAAAGAUGAGGAAAGUACUGACCUUCUCUUCUACCAGUCUGUGUCAUUCUUAAGACAGUCUUGGUAGUGCUGUUUCCACGUAUCCCUCCCUGUCUCCAAGUGAUUUGUAUUCCACUCUUGUGUUGUCAUACUCUCUUACAUGAUGGAGAUCCUUAGCUGUGGCAUUUCUGUAGACAGCCAUAUCAAAUGUAGACUUUAUUAUCAAAUGUCCAGGCCAUUCCUGAGAAGCAUGGGUUGUCCGGGAGCUAAUUUCAUAAGACUUCUUUCAUUUACUCCAAGGAGAUUGAUACAUUCACAAACAAAUCCUGUUUUCCGGAGUAACCAUGUUUCUUAAAAACCAGGGUAAUUGAUAACAUCACCCUCCAUCCUGGAGCCAUCCAUCAGGUUCUUCACACAGAGAAAGAGGUAGGUUGGAACAAUGAAAGGAAAGUCACUUUUGCCCUUUUUUAGGGAGUUUGAAGAGCUAUUCUCCCUUUUGAGUAAGGGUGAGUAAGGAACUAGUGAUUUUUCUACAAAUGGUCUACAAGAGGAUGCUUCUCUACAAACUAGAAGGAGAUCUUUUAUUUCAAGUAUUUGUAAGUACCUGAGAAGGAGUCUGUUUCUAGCCCAUCUGGAACAUUAUGAUUUUCAGCUGCUGUGUAUCUUUCAAAACUUGGAUGUUAUUCCUGUUGGCUUUCGCUUUUUGUCUGUAGAUUGUUUGUUGUCUGUGCAGCAAAACAUAACCUUCUGAUGAAUAAACCUUUCCUUUUGUGAGUCGUGCAAGGAGUAUCAAGGCAUUUUAUGGCAAGAGCUAUUGGUUUCAUAGUUACAGGCAUUCCAUAGGCACUCAGCUGGUUUACAGCAGAAUAGAAGGCGGUUUAUAAAGCAGUUGCAUGAAAUUUUACUAAAGCUUGCUUGUUGCCUUUGAUAUCAUGGUCUUGUGCUUAAAUUGAUAAAUAUGCAAAAUCCGUUUCUACUAAAUAGUCCCUUAUUUCCUCCCAUCAUCCUCUGAGAAAGAUGCUCCUUAUUAAUAGUCUAUUCAGGCACAGUGGACCUUGGUUAUUCAGGUUUUACAUUUCUGAAUUCAUAAUGCCAACCUCAUCUCCUCUUUUCUCUUUAAAAUAUGUUAAGAGGAAGGCUUAAGUAGAAUACUGUUCUGUGUUUGUUGGAUGUGUAUGAGUAUGUAUGUAAAUAGAAUGAGAUCUGUGUCUCUUGUAUUCACCAGCUGCAGUGAGUUCAGCAGUUCAGUGACAGUGGGACAAGCUCUGGGUGGGAAAACAGCCUUUAAGCAAUAGUGGCUACAUGGUUACUUGUUCUCUCUAUUCUAGAGGUGGCUUAGCAGAUCCACUGGAUGAUACAGCAAGUUUUUCCAAAAGCAGGAGCAACUGUGCACAGUUAGCAGGCGUGAAUACCAAAAGACCUGUACACUUCUGUAACAGUUGUUUGACUGAAAUGCACAAAACUACCAAAAACCAUUGCACUCUCCCAGUAGGAAUCCAUUAGAAAUCACAGUUCAGGAAGGUCUAUGCCCAAAUGUCAGAAGCCUUGGGAAUAACAGGUGACAACCAUUUAUGGAAGCAUUUAUGACAAAAAUAUUCACAAAGGAGGCCUCAUACUGAAGGAGACAAGAGGGGUUAGCAUCAUCUGCCUUCACAUCUCUGGUAUUUGGCAGAAUAAGAUGUGUUAUGAACAUUAAAUACUGGGGAAGAUGUGAGCCCAUGAUUUCAAGAACUCUUCAGUUUCCAAAUGACCUUUCUGUUGGAUAUCCUUUUUACUGGAUAUGGCACAACACAUUAUUUGAAAAUAAUAAGUUUUUAAAAGGUGUGCUUAUUUCUACCUACUUUUACCAACAAAAGACAAAUCAUAUAACUAGUUGCUUAUGGUCAUCUGUCCCAGUCCUAAUCUUCUUGAAGUCAAUACCGUUGAUGAGUUCAACAAUAUUGAGAACGGGACUGAUUCUGUUGGCAGCUGAGAAGAGGAUUGGUUCUACUUGAGGAUGAGUCAACUAAGGUAUGAAGCAUAAGCUGGAUUUCAAACACAAGCCUUUUGACAUGUUUUGUUGUCUGAUUCCAAGUUCCUCACUGUUUCAGUGUUAUCAUUACUGUUAUCAUUACUGCUGAUAAACCAGCCUGACCUUUGCAUGUGGAUUUUUGUCUGGGUUCAAGUAUUUUUGUAAUAUUCUUACCCAGUCAUGGAUGCUAACUUGCUAUCUAUUGCAAACCUUUUGUGUCUUAUUCUAAUUAAUAUUCACUUACCAUGAGUUGGAGAAGAAUGUUUGCUCUUUGAAUUUUCAGUCAAUCAAGCAAGAAGAUUGAAAAAAAAACCAGUCUAGCAGUGGUGUUCGAUGUGACACAGUGUUUAAAGGUAUAUGACAGAUAAUAAACCACCAGGGUGCAUGAACUCAUUCAACAUUGAAAUCCUUAGCUGUUUUAAAAUAAAACUGACUUUUCAGUAAUUUUCUAGAGGAGGUUGUUACACAAGCACAGGGGAACACACCUGGAAUAUGACAAGUGGUAUCAUUUUGUUUAUCCAUAGAACUCUAAUCACGUAAGAAUAAUAUAUUUUCUUGGGUUGAAAGAUGAGUGUGGGUUUUCACAUUCCACAAGUGAAUUUUAUUUAAUGAAAACCAUACAAGGUGUACUUGUGUAUGUUUACUUCAAAUACCAUUAAGCAGCUCACUUGAUAGUGUAAAUAUGCAUGUGUUUAUGUUCUCAUGGCAUCACAGAAAUGAGACUGGGAAGGAGAUGGAAAUGAAACAUUACAAAGGAAUUUGACAAAAACAGAAAGGGAGACAUUUAUUUCAUUAACAAGAUUUAUGAAGGAACUAAUGAGCUCUCUCCUGCUUUCUACCAGAAACUUAUUGCUUCGCAAGGGUUCAAAACACUUUCAGAAUCCCCAUGAGUGCACCUAAACUGGGAGGGCUUGGUUGUUUCUGUGUGUUUGCUGACAGGAUCAGCCUUGUGUUGCUCCUAAAGCCAGCAAGCAUUCAGCAUUUCAUGUUGUCUUCUGGAGGCUUGCAAAGGCAUGUAUUCCUGUGGGAGCUCUCCAGAAGUAGGGUCAGGAUAAACUAUUGGUGCAAAUAAUACUUUCCAAGGCUGAAAUGUCUGGAUAGUUUCAGUGUUCCGAUUACUUAAAUUAUAUUUGCAGUAAAUGAGUUUCUGCUCAUGAAAUAGAUGUAAUAAUAUCAGGACCUAGAAAGGAUGAAAAAGUAGAUAUUUAAUAACCUGAGUUCUCUUGAAGAGUAGCAUUGUGGGGUUUUUCUUUGCAGAAACUGGCUAACUACUGACAGAGUGGUUUUAGACCCUUCUGCAUACUCAGGAUGUAAAGCAGCACUGCCCUCAUAAAUGCACAUCUUUAACAGCAAUUUGAAGUGUUGAAAGACUAGCAAAAAGAGAGAUUAGCUAAAAACAUAAAUACCCCAAAUGUAUUCAAUUACUUUCAAUGACAGUGAUUCAAACAGGAGCUCUGAGAACGGUGACUUUGCUGCAUAGAGAGGUGGGGUUGUGCCAAGGCAGCUUUAAUGCUGCUUCACUUCACCGUGAUCUUGUAUUAGUUAAGUUUAAAAUUGUGUUCCCUGGCAAACCAUAAAAGAUUUCAAAAGUAUUAGACACCCACUUUUGUGCUGGAAUUUAAUAUGCAACUUUUUAUUGGAAAAUAAUCGUUCUUGUCUGGCGAAAUCCACCAUGCAAUAUUUCUGUUAGUAGGCAUAAUGCAAUAAAGACAGGGAGGGCUAUUUAUCACUACAAAUUUUGAGGAUUUCAGGAUUCUUUUUAUUAUUUUAAUAUAUUUCUUUGGUAUUAAAUCAGAAAAAUGAUAAAUUACACCUGUCGAGGCUGUUUUUCCUUUUUCCCAGAAAAUGAUGUACAACCUAAUUUCACUGGUCAUUUUGGCUUUUAAAGAUAUGUAUUUUUUUCCUAUUAAAAACUCUACCAAUAGGGGUUUUUUUUAAUAAUAAUACUGAAGUACUUUUUAUUUCAAACAUAUGAAGUAGUUUAUAACUACUUCCUGGCAUUGCAAACUUUGGCCUUUUCACAUUAUAUUAGGAUUUUUUUAAAAGGCAUUAAGUAUAUAUUGCUUUGAAAGAAAUAGUGUAUUGUUAAGAAGCUAGAUCCAGUGGAUCAAUUUUCAGUAUUUGAAAUAGAUUAAAUUGUGGCUAGCCUGAAAGGUUACAACAAUAAUUUAUUUCAUUUCAGUACUUCCCUGUACAUAAUCAGCUUUUACACAGUCUUAGAAAUCAGUAUUUUUCUUUUUUUAAGUGUAUAAUCAUCUUUUUCUAAAGGAUAAUGUAGAAUUAAAAGCAAAACAUAAUUUCAGCAACUGCAAUAUAUAACAGGAAAAAAAGAAGAAAAACCAUAAGAAGGUAUCAACAACAGAUGAUUGGGGCUGGUGUCAUGGUUUACAUUGCUUUCACAAUUAUUCCAGGUUUGCAUAUUUCGAAAUGUAUUAGUCCAAUCUGAUUUCAAAGCUCAGUUAUUUGAAUUAUAAAUCAUUAUGUCCCUCCUAGCUGAUCAGUUGUGAAAUAUCUUUGAAUUCAUUUGCAUAAUGGAAUAUGUUAGUCGUUCCUUUAUGUCUGUGAAGCCACAGUGCUCCCUCAUACAUGUUUAGUUCUUUCUACUAAUUAACUUUUCCUCUGUAUAUUUUUGUAGCAAAAUAAAUACAGUUUCAUUAUUAUUUUGUACAGUAACUUGGGAUAAAAUACUUUUAGUCUCUCAAACAUUCUUAAUCCUUGUCUUUGUUAGCCUUGUUACAAAAGGCUCUGCCUUGUAACAGGGCAGGGAGCCAACUAUGUAGCUUUGCAAUAUAAAACCAGGUAAUGCCAUGCCGGAUGUUAUGGAUUGACAAGAGAAACAACUCUCAAAACUUGAUUAGGAAAUUUUCCAAUAGAAGGCAGCUAUAAAAUCUGCUCUUACAAUUUUACCUGUUUAAAAAGAAUUUAACCUACUUAAAAUGAAAAGGGAAAUUGUUUAUUCCCAUAAAAGUUAUUGGACUCUAGUCAGUGAUGUGCAGGAAUGGCAGAGUGAAGCAAGCACUCAGAAAAAAGCCCCAGUACCAAUGGUAAGUGUUGUGGGUAUUUGUGAAGUCUCUGUGUGUACAGGACUGCAGGAACACAUCCUGGGUGUUGCUUAUGAGCUCAUCAGUGCCAGCAACAUUGCUCAGUGAACUACUGAGUCCUGUGUUUGUAGCAUUCAUUGUAGAGUAUACAAGCCCUUAAGUAAUUUCUUCAUUUGGUGCCUUCCAUGCUUAGGAAUAUUUCUGAAGUUUUGAAGUUUGAGUUUUUCUAUGGCAUUUCUGAGAAAGUGCACUGAUGUACUGGGAUAUUGCAAAACCUUUUAUAUCCCCAUUUUAGAGAUGCAGAACUGAGACAGUGGAAUUUAACUGAGUUUCUGUAAGUCAUACAGUGAUUUCAUGUCAAAUGAAGGAGAAGCAGGAGUCAGGAAAUCCCAGCCAUUGUUUUGGCCACUCUCGUGCUCCUGUUUUGCAAACGUGGCUCGCAGCAGUCGCUGCUUCGGUGCAGAAACUCUCAAAGGUGCCAGCAUGGCUCUCUUUGCAAGACACAGGAUUAUCACCUGUAUCCAGCCCCAGAUGCUUGAAUCAUCUGAGACAGGGAAUGUGCGUGUGUACUCAUGCUGUUAAGAGAUGUCAUAAUUCACAGAGCUAGGAAAGGAUUUGAAUUGUAGGAACAGGUCUGAACCAUCUGAUUUAAGGGCUUCUUUAACAGAGUUUUUGCAAACUCAACUUUUUAUUUAAGAUGAUUUCUUGUGCUUUUAAAAAGAAACCUUAAGAAAAAUACUAUUUUGUCAUACAUAAGUACCUAGAAGAUGUGAUCUGCAGAAUUACUGCAGUCCAGGAGAUACACUGCUCCUGCAUCAGUGUGCAGCUCCCUGGGUCCUUGGUAUCUGGGCAGGUGCAGACACACUGGAGCUCAUCUUGCUCGACCAGGGCCGGGAGCUUUGACCAGGGGUCAGGUACCUUGGCUGAUCAAUGCAGAGUACCCAGCAGCCCUUCCCCAGGGCCUGUGGGUAGCAGUGUGGUGGUUGAGGUCAGGUGAGGCUGCAGUUACCUGGGCUGUCACCAGUUAGCCAGCUGUGCAGUGGAAGAUUUCAGUUCAUGCGUAUCAGGAGUCAGUUAAUUUGCUUUCUGCUUUAUCCAGUUUGAGAAACUGGAGUUUCUGUGGAAAUGCUCAUUGAUACAUCCAAAAUUCUCAGCUGUACCCUCUUGGUAUGGACUUUGCUAUGGCUCUGAGACUGUAUGCUUGUAGGAGAUUUCCAUUCAGGUCUUACAUGUCUGAAAAUACUUUCAAAGAAUCACAGAAUUGUUAGGGUUGGAAGGGACCUCUGGAGAUCCAACUCUGCUGCUGAGGCCAGGUCACCUGGAGCAAGUGUCAUAGGAGCAUGUCCAGGUGGGUUUGGAAUGUCUCCAGAGAGAAGACUCCAUGACCUCCCUGAACAGCCUGUUCCAGUGCUCUGCCACCCUCAAUGUAAAUAAGUUCUUCCUCACAUUGAGAUGAAACUUCUUGUGUUUUAGUUUAUGGCUGUUGUUCCUCGUCCUGUCCCUGGGCACCACUGAAGAGUCUGGCACCAUUCGCUGACACCCACCUUGUAGAUAUUUAUAUGCAUUGAUGAGAUCCCCUCUGUCUUCUUUUCUCCACACUUAACAGGCCCAGCUCCCACAGUCUAUCCCCAUCAUAGAGAUGCUCCAGACCCCUCCAUUAUCUUUGUGGCCUCCUCUGGAUGCUCUCCAGGAGCUCCGUGUCUCUCUUGUCCUGAGGAGCCCAGAACUGGAGGCAGCACUGCAGAUGGGCCUCCCCUGAACACAGAGGCAGGAUCCCCUCCCUGACCUGCUGCCAAUGCUCUUCCUGAUUCCCCCAGGAUCCCAUCAGCCCUCCUGGCCACAAGAGCACACUGCCAGCUCACAAUCAACCUGUCAUCCACCAAGACCCCCAGGUCCUUCUUCUCAGAGCUGCUCUCUAGUAGGUCAGUCCCCAACCUGUACUGCUACCUGGGGUUGUUCCUCCCCAGCUGCAGGACCUGCACCUGCCCUUGUGUAUUCAUGCUUAAUUAGGUGCUGUUACUUUUCAGUCUGUGUUUGGCCCAGCCACACGCGAGAGUCUGUUCUUUUCCUGCCACAAGCACCGAAAAACGAGAACAUCGUCCUUGAAGGAAGCAUAUUGUAUAAACUGAAGUUAAUUGGGGCCUCACUGUUGGCUGACGGCCCUCCAAGGGCACUUGAAGGAGAAAGUGAAGAGGAGGAGGAUGAAGUAAUCCCCCAGACUCAUUUAGGCCCCGAGGCAUAGCAUGAGGGCACAGACACAUUCCAGAGUACCCACGCGUGCGAGAAGAGGCACCACUACAUCACGGGGGGAGGGACUGGCUGGGCAGUGCUGGCCCCACCUGCCCAGGUAGACAUCACAGGUUAAUUGUAUAAAAAGCAGAGAGCUCUUGCUGGGAGUGAACUCAGGCUUCACGUGGAGGACAGUGAUGCCUUGGCAGGAGCGCCCGUUACCAUGUGAGCUGCUGAUGCACCGGGGAUGCAGCUUCUGCUAUGGGGAAUUCUAAGCAUGCUGGGGUCGGUAAGACAACCUCGUAAGUAACACCUGAGUGGGAGGGGGUUACCCUGGGGGCUUGUUUCCCUUCUCUUUCCUGUCUCUUGGUUUCUUGUUUUGUUGGUUACUUG